ACACCUGGAUUCUGUUAUUGC
rnacentral:misc_RNA from 1 species